rnacentral:rRNA from 1 species
UACGGAGGGGGCUAGCGUUGUUCGGAAUUACUGGGCGUAAAGCGCACGUAGGCGGCUUUGUAAGUUAGAGGUGAAAGCCCGGGGCUCAACUCCGGAAUUGCCUUUAAGACUGCAUCGCUAGAAUUGUGGAGAGGUAAGUGGAAUUCCCAGUGUAGCGGUGAAAUGCGUAGAUAUUGGGAGGAACACCAGUGGCGAAGGCGGCUCACUGGACCGGUUCUGACGCUGAGGCGCGAAAGCGUGGGGAGCGAACAGG